rnacentral:rRNA from 1 species
UGGGGAAUAUUGGACAAUGGGCGAAAGCCUGAUCCAGCCAUGCCGCGUGUGUGAAGAAGGUCUUCGGAUUGUAAAGCACUUUAAGUUGGGAGGAACGGCAGUAAGCGAAUACCUUGCUGUUUUGACGUUACCGACAGAAUAAGCACCGGCUAACUCUGUGCCAGCAGCCGCGGUAAUACAGAGGGUGCAAGCGUUAAUCGGAAUUACUGGGCGUAAAGCGCGCGUAGGUGGUUCGUUAAGUUGAAUGUGAAAGCCCCGGGCUCAACCUGGGAACUGCAUCCAAAACUGGCGAGCUAGAGUAGGGCAGAGGGUGGUGGAAUUUCCUGUGUAGCGGUGAAAUGCGUAGAUAUAGGAAGGAACACCAGUGGCGAAGGCGACCACCUGGGCUCAUACUGACACUGAGGUGCGAAAGCGUGGGGAGCAAACAGG